rnacentral:rRNA from 1 species
UAAGGAAUCUUGCACAAUGGAGGAAACUCUGAUGCAGCGAUGCCGCGUGAGUGAAGAAGGCCCUUGGGUUGUAAAGCUCUUUCGUCGGGGAAGAAAAUGACUGUACCCGAAUAAGAAGCACCGGCUAACUCCGUGCCAGCAGCCGCGGUAAUACGGAGGGUGCAAGCGUUAAUCGGAAUUACUGGGCGUAAAGAGUACGUAGGCGGCUUUGCAAGUCGGGUGUGAAAGCCCUGAGCUUAACUCAGGAACUACAUUCGAUACUGCAUCGCUAGAGUUUAUUAGAGGAUAGCGGAAUUCCAGGUGUAGCGGUGAAAUGCGUAGAUAUCUGGAAGAACACCAAUGGCGAAGGCAGCUAUCUGGGAUACAACUGACGCUGAGGUACGAAAGCGUGGGGAGCAAACAGG